GAGACGUUAGUUAAACAAUAACACCACCUUGUCAAGGUGAAGUCAUCGGUUAAACCCCAGUACGCCUCA
rnacentral:tRNA from 1 species